GGUUGCAUGGUGUAAUGGUUAGCACUUCAGAUUCUGAUCCAAACAUCAGUACAUUCUGGAAAUCUGAGUUCAAUUCUCAGUGCGACCU